UUUCGUGUUGAUUGAGACUUUAAUGGUCUAUACAGUUCUAUCUUUUCUAGUGACUAACGAAUGUCAAUCGGAAAUAAUUACAACCAAUAACUAUUUAUAUACUGAUAAAUAGAAACAACUUACUUAUGUAUAUAGGGUCAUACAAAGCAUGCGCGUAAAUAGUUCGUUGAGAAACAAGAUUACAGUCCCAUAUUCACAGAUAUGCCUAUGUACAUGUGUAUAUCAGUAUGUAAAACACCCUUUAUUGAAGAAGUAAACUCCCCACAUAGGUGUAAACGAGACAACGUAAGACGAAACAGGUGAAUGAUAUGUUUGAAAGAUUAACGGCGCUACUCUGGUGGAGCUGCUUUGAUAUUUGUUUGUAUUCGAGCGUAUCUUUAGAGCGUUUACUGGUUUUAAGUUGAAGUAUCAGCGGAGUGAUGAUUUAGUUUCGGACUGUUAUUGAAAACGAAUGGUUAAUGUUUUCCAAUGGUAAAUUAUAAUCGCAAGCUAACGAAUAGAUGGACUACAAGAAAAUAUAUGUGAAACGAUCGGUACUAGAGAUAUUAAAUAUGGUAAAAUGAUUUACUUUUAUAUCAACAGACACUUUACCUGGAACGUUGCAGAAAAGGAAUAUUUUACUCAAAAUAAAAACGUCAUUAACAGUGCAUUAAAAGUAACAAAAAAUAGUAUCAAAUCACUUUAAGAUCUCUUUGAUCAAAGUCUGACUCAUACGUUUAUGGUAAUACAACUAUCUGAUUUUCUAAAAAGUGUAUAUGUAACUCAAUACGCAAAAUGUUUUUACCAAUACCCUGAAAAGGGAAUAUUAAGUUUACUACGAUAUUUUUAACACUCAUAAGGAAACUUCGGAGACCCAUAUACAUACUUAUGUAUACGUAUUAUUGUUCAAAGUGACGAGUUGAGGACGAUUUAGUCAUGCCCGUCUGCCUGUCUGUCUGUAUAUACGCGAACUAGUCCCUUAGUUUUUGAGUUAGCGAUUUGAAAUUCACUCCCUUUUCUCACCAAGAAGCCGAUCGGAACCGCCGAUAUUGGGCUACUGUAGGAUAUAGCUGCCAUGCACACUGAUCGAUCAAAAUCAAGUUCUUGUAUGAAAAACUUUUUUUUGACAAGAAAUCUUCACGAAAUUUGGCAUGGAUUAUUGUCCAAGGCAAUGGUAAAAUCUUCGGAUACCUAUAUCGUUCAGAUCGGACCACUACUGAUGAUGCCAUUAAAACUGAACGAUUACAAUCAAGUUCUUGUGUAAUAAACCUUUUUAUUUGUGAAGAGUAUUAUAGCUUCGGUGCUAAUAUUAAAACCAGUAAUAAAUGUGAUUAGCGCAGAUGCAGAAUACACAUAAUUGUCUUUGAUAAUACCAUAUAACAAUGUAGUAGUGAAAAAAAUGAUGACAACAGCUGGAAAUAUAAGUUUCUGAUGGAGCUAACAAAAGUCAACGGGAAUAGCGGACUGUCUUCCUUUUGGAAGCAUCAUUUGAACGUCAAAAUAUCUAAUACGAAAUAGAUGCUCGAGUUGACUGAUUGCUAAGUGAAGACUUGAUAUCAAAAACGAAGGCAAUCUUAGCACCAUUAGUACAGAAGUCCCAUAUAUGGUAUAAAAACUAUCACCGCUCACGUGCCAAACUUUCAAGAGAUAUUGGAAAUAAAAAGUAAAAACAGGAAAACUCGCCGUAGAUUAUUAUUAUCAUAAUAUUUAUAAUAAAUUGUAAUUGUAAUGAAACACAACUUUGAAAUAUAUUUCUCAGAAAUAUUUAUAGAUCUCGUAUAGCUUGAAUUUUGAAAAAUUGUAAAGUAUUCGUAAUGUUUUAAAUGUUAAAAAAUUUACGGCAAAGUUCUAUAAUAAAACUCAGAUAUAAACUCUA